AGUCCGGCCACGCCCCUUCUGCGCGGCGCCCGGAGCCGGGGACCCACCGAAAACUCCGGGGUGAAUCGGCCCGACUCCCCGUCCUGCGCGGGGACAGGCCGUAGGGCAACCCUUCCGAACCACCCGCCCGAACCCGACAGCUAACCCGGUAGGCGGACGAUGGAAGGAGUC
rnacentral:sRNA from 2 species